GGUGGUGGAAUAAAUUCCUAGUUCUUACUGUUUAUUGAGUCUUUUCUUUUUUAGGAUGGGUUUCUUGGCUUUUGAUUUCGGUUUCUUUUCCAAGGAUAGUCCCUUUGAACCGAGUGUCUUUUAUUUUUUUGCAAUAAUUUUUGUUUUAUAUUUUUUUUUGAGAGAAAAGAAAAGACCCUUUUGAGUGGUGUGAUACUUGCUAUUUAGGCCUAGUUUUUGAGUAGUACUUUCUUAUGAAUGCUUGAUUGAUAAGGAAAUUGUAGACUCUUUGACGAAUAAGC
rnacentral:lncRNA from 1 species